AGCGCAGGCGGGAAGACAAGUUGGAAGUGAAAUCCAUGGGCUCAACCCAUGAACUGCUUUCAAAACUGUUUUUCUUGAGUAGUGCAGAGGUAGGCGGAAUUCCCGGUGUAGCGGUGGAAUGCGUAGAUAUCGGGAGGAACACCAGUGGCGAAGGGCGGCCUACUGGGCACCAACUGACGCUGAGGCUCGAAAGUGUGGGUAGCAAACA
rnacentral:rRNA from 1 species